rnacentral:lncRNA from 1 species
GCUGAGCAAGUGUGUCUGCUGUCGACACCUGCCAGCUAAGGAAGUAGGGCUAUGCACCUGAUUCCUGGCAUGCCCGCCCCUCGCCACCCUGACAUGCUUGAUCCAGGCUUCAAUGGAUCCUGGAGAGGAGGGUCUCUCGUCUAGUUCAAAGUGCCCCAGUCAGGGCUUGGGCAGGGUGGGACACCUGGCUGCCCCUCCAAGGCCCGCUGAGCCUUGGCCUCACCCGAGGGCCAGCUGGACGAAUGCUCCAAUUAAAGGCCCUGGACUUACAGGGAAAACCAGAAGGUGUGGAGCAGCCAGGCCGUGCAGUUGCUUCUUGGAGACACAGCCCACUCUCACCCUUGCCAGAGGACGAAUGGAGGGAAUGUUGUAGAAGCUUCCAGAAAAAAGUAAGUAGCUCUGUCCAAUGGCGGGUCCUGACCUGCAGCCACAUUUUCUGUAUUCACUCUUUGUUUUGUUGCAGCAACAAAAGACCUUAAAAGACAAGUUUAAAAGGUUUACCUCUGCUCACAGUUUGGGAGAACAGUCAGUUAUGGCAGGCAAGGCCCAGCGACAGGAACACGAGGUAGCUGCUAGCAUCGCAUCCACACUCAGGAAGCAGAGUGGGGUGAAUAACUCACUUCCCCCUUUUUAUGCUGCCCAUG